GUUGUUGUGGCCGAGUGGUUAAGCUGAUGGAUUUAAAAUCCAUUGGGGUCUCCCGUCGCAGGUUCAAAUCCUGCUGACAAGA